rnacentral:lncRNA from 1 species
CAUGAUUAAUCUGAUAUGACUGUUGUCACUUCAACGUGACUGUUGUGUCAUUGUAGUCAGCGGGUCAAUUCUCUUCUUUUUUAUACACAAAUAAGGCCUUUAGUUUUCUUGUUUGAAUGGUUUUACAUUGUCAUUUCGGGGCCUUUUAUAGCUGACUAUGUGGUAUGGGGCUUGCUCAUUAUUGAAGGCCGUACGGUGACCUAUAAUUAUUAAUUUGUGUGUCAUUUUGGUCUCUUGUGGACAGUUGUAUCAAUUGCAAUCAUACCACAUCUUCUUUUUUAUAUUUAAAUCAAUGACAGGAUAUAUAAUUAAUUAUGUUUUGUUAAGCAUUUUCGACUCAAAGUUUAAUUCAUCCUUGGUUCUAAGAAUACUGAUUUAAAAAAAAAACUUAAGAUCACUAAUUCAACAAAUGAUCAAAGAGAUAACACACAUUUAAGUACUAAAAAAACUGAAACAAAUCUAUUAUAUAUUGCCUAUAAUUGUUUACAUCCACUCCAUUGAAUAUUUGGUGGAUAGUUGUCUCAUUGGCAAUCAUUCCAUAUUCCCUCAUUUUAUAUCAAAAACACAAAUCAAGGCAUUUGUUUUAGGGAGUCGAUAUUGAUAAAUUGGUCGAAGCAACAAUGUUUAAAUGUUAAAGGUAAAAUAGUGACGUUUUACUAAUUUCUUUUUCGAUGGUAUGCACGUGAUUGAAAAGUAGCAUACUUCCUCUCUAAAACUUAUAACAUUAUGCUAUGAAAGUAUAAAAAGAAGAUGUGGUAUGAUUGCCAAUGAGACAACUAUGCAAAAAAGACCAAAAUGACACAGACAUUAAUAACUAUAGGUCACCGUACGGCCUUCAACAAUGAGCAAAGCCCAUACCGCAUAGUGAGCUAUAAAAGGCCCCGAUAUGACAAUGUAAAACAAUUCAUGGCAUAGAUACAUGUACUAAGGUGGAGAUAACAAAACUAAUAGUAUGUCAAAGAACCGAACAAAAGACUUAAACAGCCAAAAGGUAAAAAAAACCCCAGCCUAUAAACAGUCGUUACCAAGAAAAAGGUUUGAACUUAGUUGUCCUGGAAGAUGAAUUUACUCCAUCGCUGACAGACAACAAAUUAAAAUUACUUAGUACAUGUGCAUUCAGUGAUGUAAUUACAAAAAAAAGUAAACUGUUACAGUCACAUGUUGUGUGUAUAACAAAUUUAUUAUUCAGUCAAGAAAACCACAUAAUACAUCAUUAGAAUGAAAACACUUUUCAAAACAACCGCAUGACCAAACAUCAAAAGUAACACUCACGUGUAACAUGUUAAUAAGUCGCGAAUAACAACUUUUUUUUUUAACUUUGUACUACAUAAAUCCGCAGGACAUUAAAUUGAUUUAUUUUUGUUUUUUAACGUCUUGACAAUUACUUCAAAUGUACGCAAUCAAAAUCUUCAUUAUUUCUUGCUUAUCACUAAAUUUAUGCAUCCAUUUAUUUGUAAUAAUAAAAAACCCAUAAAUAUAUAAACAAAAGAAGAUGUGGUAUGAUUGACAAUGAGACAACUCUCCAAAAGAGACCAAACAACACAGAAACUAACAAAUAUAGGUCACCAUACGGCUUUCAACAAUGAACAAAGCCCAUACCGCAUAGUCAGCUAUAAAAAGGCCCCGAAAUGACAAAUGUAAAACAAUUCUACCGAGAAAACUAAUGGACUUAUUGUGUAACACAUCAGCAACAACAUCAACUGAGUUACAAGCUCCUGACUUGGGAUAGGUACAUAUAUACAGAAUGUGGCGGAAUUGAACAUGACAGCGGGACCAAUCCUCCCCUAACCUGGGAGAGUGGUGUAACAGUAUGACAUCACAACGAACCAUACAAGUUUUUUUUAUAAAUCUCUUAAUCCCUAUCUCACAUGCAGCUGAAUCUAGUGUAUGUUGCGUGCAUAUUUUAAGUUGUAGCAGAUCCCUCCACUUAAAUAAUGUAGUGUUAAAUGAAAAUCUUUACCAGAAAAAGAGAAGAUAAGAAGAUUUGAGCAGUGCUUUAUUUUUUAAUCAUAUAAACCCUUGUUCUAACCAACAAUUUCCACAGAUUACAGAAAGUAAAUAAUGUUUUGAGUGCUAAAGUUGAGGAAAUAUAUUAAUAUGACCUGCCGUUCAAAACAUGCAUGAAAUAUUUGCAACUGGGCAUUAAGCGAACAAUAAUUAAUCACUCAAUCAACCUGACCUAAAUAGUGGGACUUUAUUUUGAACCAGCCACUGAGUCCUAUGACUCCUCUGAAUCCCCCAUGUAACAUGUGAUCUGUUAAAAUGUCGAAUAAAUUUGAUGAUUUGUGCUUUCCUAUUUGUGACUUAUUAUGUAAUAAAAACCAAUGUUGUUCGUUGAGAUAUGUAUAUUGUAAUUCAUACUUAAUUUGCGUAAAACCGCACUAUAAAUCCUUUACAAAUAAAAAAAAAAAAACCCAAGAACGCAGAUGUAAUUAGCUGUCAUUGUUUACAAAUGUAAAGGACUACUACAACAUUAUACUUGUAAACU